rnacentral:rRNA from 1 species
UACAGAGGUCUCAAGCGUUGUUCGGAAUUACUGGGCGUAAAGCGCACGUAGGCGGAUUUUUAAGUCAGGGGUGAAAUCCCGAGGCUCAACCUCGGAACUGCCUUUGAUACUGGAGAUCUUGAGUUCGGAAGAGGUUGGUGGAACAGCUAGUGUAGAGGUGAAAUUCGUAGAUAUUAGCUAGAACACCAGUGGCGAAGGCGGCCAACUGGUCCGAUACUGACGCUGAGGUGCGAAAGCGUGGGGAGCAAACAGG